CCCCGCCCGACUGGUCCCCGGCGACCGACGCCCCGCGGCCCUCGCCCUUCCCGCCCCCGGCGCUGCACGCCCUCCACGGCUUGGCCCGCGCGCUGCUGUUCCCGGCCUACUGGGCCCUGCACCAGCUGCAGGGUGGCUGAGGAGGGCGGCGGGCGGCGGGCGGCGCUGCUGCUGCUGCUGCUGGUGGUCGGCCCGCCCCUGGCGCUGCCCGGCCUGCCGCUCUGGCUGGUGCCGCAGGUUUGGCGCCGCCCCUUCUGCUACCGCUCCCCUCCGCUGUGCUGGGCGCCGCCCGCGCUCUGGCGCCCGCCUGCCGAACCCGGGCGCUGCUUCGUCUUCCUCACCGCCAAUCUGUGCCUGCUCCCCGACGGGCAAGCGCGCUUCGGCAACCUACCGCACAGCCAGCGACCGGCCGAGGCCAUUGGCGCCGCGCGGCCCGCGCUCUACAGGGCUACGGACUGCAGCCAGCCGUGGUCCAGGGCGCCGCGCGGGACGCUGGUGGCCUCGCUGCCCGUGGGUCUGGACUUUGUGUGCCUGCAGGAGGUAUUCGAUCUGCGCAGGGCUCGUCGCUUGGUGAAUCGCCUGGCGCCCAACCUGGGCCCGUUGCUGUACGACGUGGGCACGCUCGGCCUACAGCCCGGGCGGCACCUCAAGCUGCUGGACAGCGGGCUGCUGCUGGCCUCGCGCUACCCGCUGCUGCGCGCCACCUUCCGUUGCUUCCCCCACGCACGUGGCGAGGACGCGCUGGCCUCCAAGGGACUACCGUCCGCACAGGCGAGGCUGGGCAGCCUGGACGGGCGCCGCAUCGUGGGAUUCCUGCACUGCACGCAUUUGCAAGCACUGGCUGAAGACGGGCCCUUGCGCAGCAAACAGCUGACGCCGCUGCUGGACUGGGCCGAGAAGUUUGGGGCCGAGAAGUUUGAGGCCGACAGAGAACAAAGUGGAGAGGUCGUGGCUUUCAGCGUGCUCCUGGGCGACCUAAACUUCGAUAACUGCUGGAAAGACCACCGGCUAGAGCAGGAGCACGAGCUCUUCCGCUGUUUCCAGGAUCCCUGCCGGCUGGGCACGCGCCAAAAGCAGCCCUGGGCCCUGGGGACCGCGCUGAGCACCUCCGUGCUCCACCAGUCCAUGGCCUCCUCCCCCAAGAUGCCGAGGCGGGCCCUGGAGCAGGAGAAAGGGCGCCACCUCUACCUGGCCGGCCUUCCCGGCAGAAGCCGCCGAGCUAAGCCCUGGAGAGGUCGGCGCCUGGACUACAUCACGUACCGCGGAGUUCCCGGGUGGC
rnacentral:lncRNA from 1 species